GCACUGCUGACGAGUCCGAAACGGGACGAAACAGCUGUCCAGUGC
rfam:Echinostoma caproni strain Egypt genome assembly, scaffold: ECPE_scaffold0022652